rnacentral:rRNA from 1 species
AGGGUUUGAUCCUGGCUCAGAACGUACGCUGGCGGCACGCCUAACACAUGCAAGUCGAACGAAGUAGCAAUACUUAGUGGCAGACGGGUGAGUAACAUGUGGGUAUCUGCCCUUUGGCCUGGAAUAACACGAGGAAACUUGUGCUAAUACUGGAUAAGUCUUUACGGAGAAAGCUUUAUGCACCAUUGGAUGAGCCCGCACUUGAUUAGUUUGUUGGUGGGGUAAUGGCCUACCAAGACUGUGAUCAAUAGCUGAUUUGAGAGGAUGAUCAGCCACAUUGGGACUGAGACACGGCCCAAACUCCUACGGGAGGCAGCAGUGGGGAAUCUUGCACAAUGGAGGAAACUCUGAUGCAGCGAUGCCGCGUGAGUGAAGAAGGCCCUUGGGUUGUAAAGCUCUUUCGUCGGGGAAGAAAAUGACUGUACCCGAAUAAGAAGGUCCGGCUAACUUCGUGCCAGCAGCCGCGGUAAUACGAAGGGACCUAGCGUAGUUCGGAAUUACUGGGCUUAAAGAGUUCGUAGGUGGUUGAAAAAGUUGGUGGUGAAAUCCCAGAGCUUAACUCUGGAACUGCCAUCAAAACUUUUCAGCUAGAGUUUGAUAGAGGAAAGCAGAAUUUCUAGUGUAGAGGUGAAAUUCGUAGAUAUUAGAAAGAAUACCAAUUGCGAAGGCAGCUUUCUGGAUCAUUACUGACACUGAGGAACGAAAGCAUGGGUAGCGAAGAGGAUUAGAUACCCUCGUAGUCCAUGCCGUAAACGAUGUGUGUUAGACGUUGGAAAUUUAUUUUCAGUGUCGCAGCGAAAGCGAUAAACACACCGCCUGGGGAGUACGACCGCAAGGUUAAAACUCAAAUGAAUUGACGGGGACCCGCACAAGUAGUGGAGCAUGUGGUUUAAUUCGAAGAUACGCGCAGAACCUUACCAACACUUGACAUGUUCGUCGCGACUUUAAGAGAUUAAAGUUUUCGGUUCGGCCGGACGAAACACAGGUGCUGCAUGGCUGUCGUCAGCUCGUGUCGUGAGAUGUUGGGUUAAGUCCCGCAACGAGCGCAACCCUCACUUUUAGUUGCCAUCAUUUAGUUGGGCACUCUGAAAGAACUGCCAGUGAUAAGCUGGAGGAAGGUGGGGAUGACGUCAAGUCCUCAUGGCCCUUACGUGUUGGGCUACACACGUGCUACAAUGGUAUCUACAACAGGAAGCGAAACAGCGAUGUUAAGCAAAUCCUUAAAAGAUACCUCAGUUCGGAUUGCACUCUGCAACUCGAGUGCAUGAAGCUGGAAUUACUAGUAAUCGUGGAUCAGCGUGCCACGGUGAAUGCGUUCCCGGGUCUUGUACACACCGCCCGUCACACCAUGGGAGUUGGUUCUACCUUAAGGCAAGGUUUAAUACCCUUGACUACGGUAUAGUCAGCGACUGGGGUGAAGUCAUAACAAGGUAGC